rnacentral:rRNA from 1 species
UACAGAGGGUGCGAGCGUUAAUCGGAAUUACUGGGCGUAAAGCGCACGUAGGCGGCUUUGCAAGUCGGAUGUGAAAUCCCCGGGCUCAACCUGGGAACUGCAUUCGAGACUGCUUUGCUUGAGUAUGGGAGAGGGAGGCGGAAUUUCCGGUGUAGCGGUGAAAUGCGUAGAUAUCGGAAGGAACAUCAGUGGCGAAAGCGGCCUCCUGGACCAAUACUGACGCUCAUGUGCGAAAGCGUGGGGAGCAAACAGG